rnacentral:rRNA from 1 species
AGAGUUUGAUCAUGGCUCAGGAUGAACGCUAGCUACAGGCUUAACACAUGCAAGUCGAGGGGAAACGACAUCGAAAGCUUGCUUUUGAUGGGCGUCGACCGGCGCACGGGUGAGUAACGCGUAUCCAACCUGCCCCAUCACUUGGGGAUAACCUUGCGAAAGUAAGACUAAUACCCAAUGAUAUCUCUAGAAGGCAUCUGAAAGAGAUUAAAGAUUUANCGGUGAUGGAUGGGGAUGCGUCUGAUUAGCUUGUUGGCGGGGUAACGGCCCACAAAGCAACGAUCAGUAGGGGUUCUGAGAGGAAGGUCCCCCACAUUGGAACUGAGACACGGUCCAAAACUCCUACGGGAGGCA